UGAAUAAUUCUCGUAACCAACGCAAGGUGGCACUUUUAUCCUGUCAUUUCGCUAAGGAGUUUGUUAUUAUAUUUUAGUUCAACCACAAGUGCACAAGUGAAUUGCAAUUGAAAAACUAAUUUGCAAUGAUCUAAAUUUGAUUAUUGAAAACCAAACCAAAAACUUGCGAGAUGCCCAACAAAACCCCUCUUCUUGCAAACUGUUCCACAACCCCUUUACAGCUCGAUAGAACGGAACAUCUGAGUGGAGAUGUUUUUUGGUUAUGGCUCUACGAUAUCAAUGAACUAUAUAUUCUCACUAUCAAGAUUAGUCAAUGAUGUAACAACAUUAUUUCUACUGUGGCUUCGAUGAGAUUUAUUAGCAACAAUGAAAGGAAUCAUUCCACUGGUUUGCGAUCUCGCAAAAAAAAAAAUACAAAAUUCGCAAUGCUGGAUGCGAUCAAAAUGAUGCACGGCUAUGGCUACCGAUAACAAAACUACCGUGAACACUUCCGCCUUCCUAUAGCAGUCAGUAUUAAGCCCGUGAUACGAAUAAACAGCUGUGUUGGGCGAGACUCUGAUGGCCAAAGAUACGGAAUGCGUUCACGAGCUUCGUCAAGGUAGAGGAGCAUCUAUAAGAGCAUUCCUCGACGAUAAUUUCGCUGAAUGAUACGUGGCUGGUUGCCAACGAGGAAUUUAAUCAGCUCCAAUAGAUUUUCCUUGGAACUGCCGAUCCGAACAGCCACAUGGCCAAGUUGGUUCGCACGGCCAAUACGCUGAAAAGUGUUUGUGAUUCAUCCUAUUGAAUUGAUUUAUUUUUAGGACCUUAACGUUUUACUAACAACAACGAGCUUAUCAGUCCCAUUGCAAUACACAAAACUAACAUUUUGAUUGUAUGAGGGAAAUGCAACUACUAUUCCAAGCAUUACCCUUUUUUUUACUGCACAUUUUAGUUCACAUUUUUGUUAUGGUAUCGGUCACAGUUUAGCUCACAUUAUUAUCAUAGAUCAAAAGAAUAAUCUAUCUCUGCACAUUGCACGUUCGUUUCAAAACGAUUGAUUCAGAGACCUAACAUAAGAAUUAGCAUAUAUUGUAAACUUAUCAGGCUUACUAUACUAAACCUAUGUUAAGCUAGUCUAUUCAGAUCUCAAUAUGUUAAGCAUAGUGCUAAUUAGUUCAGAAUUCGCGGCAAUUUUGUUCAUACAUUAAAUUCAUAAAUUUUCA